CCCUAUUAUACUAGGCAGAAAUUACAGUUUGCUUGAGUAGUAAUCAGUUAUGUUCUUGAAACUUAAAGAAUUUGGCGGUAUUCAAGUCUAGUUAGAGGAACCUGCUCUUUAAAACGAUAUGCCACGAAUUAUCUUAUUUUCUCUUGUGUUCAGUAUGUAUACCGCCAUUAUUAGGUAGCGUUUUUAGGUGUCUACUGUAAUUUAUUUUUGCAAGAUAUAUUAGGUCAAGGUGCAGCCUAUGGGGAAGUAGUUGUGGGUUACAUUGUAUUUUAUGUUUCGGAUAGAUAUUUGAAAGGGUGUCUUUAAGCUGGAUUUAAUUGUAAGCUCCUUUUAAUAAGUGGGGUUGGUAGUGGCUCUAGAAUAUGUACACAUCGCCC
rnacentral:rRNA from 1 species